UAUGGGGGGCUAAUAAUGCAAGUCGAACGCACUCUCGUUAGAUUGAAGAAGCUUGCUUCUGAUUGAUAACAUUUGAGUGAGUGGCGGACGGGUGAGUAACACGUGGGUAACCUGCCCUAAAGUGGGGGAUAACAUUUGGAAACAGAUGCUAAUACCGCAUAAAACCUAGCACCGCAUGGUGCAAGGUUGAAAGAUGGUUUCGGCUAUCACUUUAGGAUGGACCCGCGGUGCAUUAGUUAGUUGGUGAGGUAAAGGCUCACCAAGACCGUGAUGCAUAGCCGACCUGAGAGGGUAAUCGGCCACACUGGGACUGAGACACGGCCCAGACUCCUACGGGAGGCAGCAGUAGGGAAUCUUCCACAAUGGACGAAAGUCUGAUGGAGCAACGCCGCGUGAGUGAAGAAGGUUUUCGGAUCGUAAAACUCUGUUGUUGGAGAAGAACGUAUUUGAUAGUAACUGAUCAGGUAGUGACGGUAUCCAACCAGAAAGCCACGGCUAACUACGUGCCAGCAGCCGCGGUAAUACGUAGGUGGCAAGCGUUGUCCGGAUUUAUUGGGCGUAAAGCGAGCGCAGGCGGUUUCUUAAGUCUGAUGUGAAAGCCUUCGGCUCAACCGAAGAAGUGCAUCGGAAACUGGGAAACUUGAGUGCAGAAGAGGACAGUGGAACUCCAUGUGUAGCGGUGAAAUGCGUAGAUAUAUGGAAGAACACCAGUGGCGAAGGCGGCUGUCUGGUCUGUAACUGACGCUGAGGCUCGAAAGCAUGGGUAGCAAACAGGAUUAGAUACCCUGGUAGUCCAUGCCGUAAACGAUGAGUGCUAGGUGUUGGAGGGUUUCCGCUCUUCAGUGCCGCAGCUAACGCAUUAAGCACUCCGCCUGGGGAGUACGACCGCAAGGUUGAAACUCAAAGGAAUUGACGGGGGCCCGCACAAGCGGUGGAGCAUGUGGUUUAAUUCGAAGCAACGCGAAGAACCUUACCAGGUCUUGACAUCCUUUGACCACUCUAGAGAUAGAGCUUUCCCUUCGGAGACAAAGUGACAGGUGGUGCAUGGUUGUCCUCAGCUCGUGUCGUGAGAUGUUGGGUUAAGUCCCGCAA
rnacentral:rRNA from 1 species